rnacentral:rRNA from 1 species
CGGGUGAGUAACACGUAGUAACCUGCCUCUAAGUAGGGGAUAACUCCGGGAAACCGGAGCUAAUACCGUAUGUGGUAGUAGAGGUAACGCACUACUAUUAAAGCCUUCGGGCGCUUAGAGAGGGGCUUGCGUCCGAUUAGCUAGUUGGUGGGGUAACGGUUCACCAAGGCAGUGAUCGGUAGCUGGUCUGAGAGGACGGUCAGCCACACUGGGACUGAGACACGGCCCAGACUCCUACGGGAGGCAGCAGCGAGGAAUUUUAGUCAAUGGGCGAAAGCCUGAACUAGCGACGCCGCGUGGGGGAUGAAGGUUUUCGGAUUGUAAACCCCUUUUAUCAGGGAGGAAUAAUGACAGUACCUGAUGAAUAAGCCACGGCUAACUACGUGCCAGCAGCCGCGGUGAUACGUAGGUGGCAAGCGUUAUCCGGAUUUACUGGGCGUAAAGCGGGUGCAGACGGUUUUUCAAGUCGGGUGUAAAAUCUCCCAGCUUAGCUGGGAGGGACCGCUCGAUACUGUGAGGCUUGAGGACAGCA